rnacentral:rRNA from 1 species
UACGUAGGGGCGAGCGUUGUUCGGAAUUACUGGGCGUAAAGGGCGCGUAGGCGGUGCUCUAAGUCGGAUGUGAAAACUCUGGGCUCAACCCAGAGCCUGCAUCCGAAACUGGAGUGCUAGAGUUCUGGAGGGGUAGCGGAAUUCCUGGUGUAGCGGUGGAAAUGCGUAGAUAUCAGGAGGAACACCGGUGGCGAAGGCGGCUCACUGGCCCGGUACUGACGCUGAGGUGCGAAAGCGUGGGGAGCGAACAGG